UACGUAGGGGGCAAGCGUUGUCCGGAUUUAUUGGGCGUAAAGAGCGUGUAGGCGGCCAGGUAGGUCCGUUGUGAAAACUGGAGGCUUAACCUCCAGCUGUCGAUGGAAACCAUCUGGCUAGAGUCCGGAAGAGGAGAGUGGAAUUCCUGGUGUAGCGGUGAAAUGCGCAGAUAUCAGGAAGAACACCCGUGGCGAAGGCGGCUCUCUGGGCCGAUACUGACGCUGAGGAGCGAAAGCGUGGGGAGCGAACAGG
rnacentral:rRNA from 1 species